UCCUGGUUAACCCAGGCAGUCUCAUUAGAGUUCCCAGCAUUACCUGUUGGCAACUAAUGACAAGGGUUGCGCUCGUUGCGGGACUUAACCCAACACCUCACGGCACGAGCUGACGACAGCCAUGCAGCACCUGUUUAGCGGUCCCGAAGGAAGGCACCAUCUCUGGUGCUGUCCACUAUAUGUCAAGCCUAGGUAAGGUUCUUCGCGUAGCAUCGAAUUAAACCACAUGCUCCACUGCUUGUGCGGGUCCCCGUCAAUUCUUUUGAGUUUCACCCUUGCGAGUGUACUCCCCAGGCGGUAUACUUAUCGCGUUAGCUACGGCACAAAUGGGGUUGAGACCAUUUACACCAAGUAUACAUAGUUUACGGUUAGGACUAC
rnacentral:misc_RNA from 1 species